CGUGUAUCAGUAGAACCACUGCACCAUUUAUAACGCCUCUGAGCCCGUACCUACCUAUAGCGAUGCGCUAGGACCCGGCGGCGCCUCUCUCUCCCAUGCAGCAGACUGCCUUUACGCGAGCAGGACCAGAAAUCUGCAGUUCACAGAAUGAAGAGAUCAAAAUGAUGCUGCCUGUAAAAAGGGAUUAAACGUUUGCAUUGUAACCGCAAGCGAGCUAAUGACAGCUGCAUCGUGCUCACUUUCUCCGUUGCAUUGGAACCGAAUUGCAUUGGAUGCACGGCGGCCUGACGCG